rnacentral:rRNA from 1 species
GUUGGUGCUUUAGCGGAGGGGGUACACCCGUUCUCAUUCCGAACACGGAAGUUAAGCCCUCCAUCGCCGAUGGUACUUUCUUUGAAGGGAGAGUAGGUAAGCGCCAACU